rnacentral:rRNA from 1 species
GAUGAACGCUGGCGGCGUGCCUAAUACAUGCAAGUCGAGCGAACAGAUGAGGAGCUUGCUCCUCUGACGUUAGCGGCGGACGGGUGAGUAACACGUGGAUAACCUACCUAUAAGACUGGGAUAACUUCGGGAAACCGGAGCUAAUACCGGAUAAUAUAUUGAACCGCAUGGUUCAAUAGUGAAAGACGGUUUUGCUGUCACUUAUAGAUGGAUCCGCGCCGCAUUAGCUAGUUGGUAAGGUAACGGCUUACCAAGGCAACAAUGCGUAGCCGACCUGAGAGGGUGAUCGGCCACACUGGAACUGAGACACGGUCCAGACUCCUACGGGAGGCAGCAGUAGGGAAUCUUCCGCAAAGGGCGAAAGCCUGACGGAGCAACGCCGCGUGAGUGAUGAAGGUCUUCGGAUCGUAAAACUCUGUUAUUAGGGAAGAACAAAUGUGUAAGUAACUAUGCACGUCUUGACGGUACCUAAUCAGAAAGCCACGGCUAACUACGUG